GAUGAACGCUGGCGGCGUGCCUAAUACAUCCAAGUCGAGCGAACAGAUGAGGAGCUUGCUCCUCUGACGUUAGCGGCGGACGGGUGAGUAACACGUGGAUAACCUACCUAUAAGACUGGGAUAACUUCGGGAAACCGGAGCUAAUACCGGAUAAUAUAUUGAACCGCAUGGUUCAAUAGUGAAAGACGGUUUUGCUGUCACUUAUAGAUGGAUCCGCGCCGCAUUAGCUAGUUGGUAAGGUAACGGCUUACCAGGGCAACGAUGCGUAGCCGACCUGAGAGGGUGAUCGGCCACACUGGAACUGAGACACGGUCCAGACUCCUACGGGAGGCAGCAGUAGGGAAUCUUCCGCAAUGGGCGAAAGCCUGACGGAGCAACGCCGCGUGAGUGAUGAAGGUCUUCGAAUCGUAAAACUCUGUUAUUAGGGAAGAACAAAUGUGUAAGUAACUAUGCACGUCUUGACGGUACCUAAUCAGAAAGCCACGGCUAACUACGUG
rnacentral:rRNA from 1 species